AUGACCUCUCCGUUAUCCCCUCCCGGUCCGGCUGACCGCCGCCGCAGGCACACGAUCUACCAUGGCCACCGCCGCGCGUCCCCGUACCGCCACACCGUCCAUGGCGGUCUCAUCACCCACCUCCGCGCCACCUCUCCUGGACCCCGCUCCUCCCCCUCCCCUUGGCCCGCCGCAACCACCGCCCCUUUCCACCUCCCUGACUGGGACCCCUCCUCCCCAUCUCACUCCCCUCGCUCGUCGCCGACUCCGUCGCAUUCCACAUCUGCCUCUUCCCGCCGUCUCUCCCCGCUCGCGCGAUUCUUACUCGACGCCCUCCGCCGACACCGGCGCUGGGGCCCUCCCGUCGUCGCUGACCUGUCCAAGCUCCGCCGCGUACCACCCACCCUCGUGGUUGAGGUCCUCAGCGCGCACCCGCCACCACCUCCCCCGUUCGCCCUCCCCUUCUUCCACUGGGCCGGCCGCCAGAAGGGCUUCCGACACUGCUUCCCUGCGUUCCACGCUCUCGCCUCCCUCCUCUCCGCUGCAGGCCUCCCUGCUGCCGCCGAUCAGCUUCCCGACCUCAUUCGCUCCCACGGCAAGCCCGUCUCUCACCCUCAGCUCACACUCCUCGUCCGGCUUCACACCGCUGCACGCCGCCCCCUCCGUGCGCUCUACACGCUCCGCCGGUUUCGACAUGAGUUCUCUGUUCAGCCGCAGGUCCACGUCUGCAACCGUGUCCUCGGCGCUUUGACUGCGGCAGGCCAUGUUGAGGAUGCGCUCAAGCUGUUCGAUGAAAUGGCAGAAAGUGGCAUCAGGCCUAUGCCGGUCACAUUUGCAAUCAUCGUGCAUGCGCUGGGCCAGGAAGGGAUGGCGGAGAGGAUCCUAGAGAUGAUUGGGAGGAUGCGUGAUGAGGUGUGCCGGCCGGACGUGUUUGUGUACACCGCUCUGGUCAAGACGAUGGUGCGCAGGGGGCACAUGGAGGGUUGCAUCAGAGUGUGGGAGGAGAUGGGGAGAGAUGGUGUGGAGCCAGACACAGUGGCAUAUGCUACAAUGGUUGAGGGGCUAUGCAACGCUGGGAUUGUAGAGAAAGCAGCUAAAUUGUUUGAGGGGAUGAGGAAAAAGGGGUUGUUGGUUGACAGGAUCGUGUAUGCAUCACUCGUCCAUGCCUAUGUUGCUGCUGGGAGGGUUGGGGAUGGCUGUAGGAUUUUGAAGGAGAUGGUGGAUGCUGGCUACCGCGCUGACCUCAAAACAUACAACAUACUCAUUGCCGGUCUGUGUGGUAUAGGUCGGGAGGAUAAGGCACAUAACAUGUUUCAGAUUGUCCUUCAGGAGGAGCUAAUGCCAAGCUCUGAGACUGUUUCACAGUUACUAGUUUGCUAUGCUGAUAAGGGUGAGAUGGUUAACUUUUUUGGAUUGGUUGACAAAUUGGUUGAGCUGAGCUUGCCUGCUGUAGAAUUUUUAGGGCACUUCUUGAGGCUCUUUGCAUGCAAGGAUGGUAGGGAAUUGAAGACUCUGGAAUUGUUUAAGACUUUGAGACAAAAAGGGUAUUUCAGUGUUAACAUUUACAACAUUCUUAUUGAGAAUCUGCUCAAGAUCAAGGAGAGGAAGAAAGCAUUAUUACUGUUUGAGGAAAUGAAAGCUUCAGAUGACUGCGAGCCAGAAUCAUGUACAUAUAGUCUUAUGAUUCCGUGUUUUGUGGAUGAAGGAAAUAUUGAAGAGGCUUGCUCAUGCUACAACUCCAUGAUGAAGGCUGAAUGGAUACCAAGUCUUUCAGCCUAUCGUUCCCUCGUGAAAGGGCUAUGCAAGAUUGGAGAGAUAAAUGCAGCUGUUUCACUUGUAUCAGAUUGUCUUGGAAAUGUAGAGAAUGGGCCAAUGGAAUUCAAGUACACCUUAACUGUUAUUGAAGCUUGCCGGUCAAAAGACCCGGAGAAGGUCAUGAAAGUGGUGGUUGAGAUGAUUGAGUUAGGUUAUUUAAUAGACGAACUUAUCUUCUCUGCUGUCAUCUAUGGAUUCUGCAAGUACGCAACUUCAACUGGAGCUAGAGAGGUGUUCUCUGUUAUGAGAGAUAGGGAUAUUAUUUCGGAGGCUAAUUUUAUUGUUUACGAGGAUAUGCUGAACGAGCACCUGAAGAAGGUCACUGCAGACUUGGUGAUAUCUGGAUUGAAGUUCUUCAACCUUGAAUCAAAAUUGAAAUGGAGAAGCAGAAUUGAUUGA
rnacentral:rRNA from 1 species